UACGUAGGGUGCAAGUGUUGUCCGGAAUUAUUGGGCGUAAAGAGCUCGUAGGCGGUCUGUCGCGUCGGCUGUGAAAUCCCGAGGCUCAACCUCGGGUCUGCAGUCGAUACGGGCAAACUAGAGUAUUGCAGGGGAGACUGGAAUUCCUGGUGUAGCGGUGAAAUGCGCAGAUAUCAGGAGGAACACCGGUGGCGAAGGCGGGUCUCUGGGCAAUAACUGACGCUGGAGGAAGCGAAAGCGUGGGGAGCGAACAGG
rnacentral:rRNA from 1 species